rnacentral:rRNA from 1 species
AUGAGUCGUCAUGAUGGCAUCAACAUCCUCGAUGGCAAGUUCUACCUUGGAGAUGUUGGCUAUGCAUGUCGGCCAGGUGUUCUUCCACUUCAAAAAACCAGGUACCAUCUGAAUGAGUUUGCUGGUAGAAACCAUACUAGGACUCCUCGGGAACUGUUGAAUCUCAGAUAUUCCAGCCUUAGAGUCACUGUUGAGAGGGCCUUUGGAGCUCUGAAGAACAUGUUUAAGAUCCUGGAUCAGAAGCCAUUCCACCCUUACCCUACCCAGGUGAAGCUUGUUCUUGCAUGUUGCAUCAUUCGCAACUAGAUCCUGCAAUGGGGUGUUGAUGAAUUUGUGUCGGAGGAGGAAGAUGUGACUCCUGAUGAGGUGAUCAACUCCGGCCAUGGUGUGGAGGCGUUCGACAAUGAAGCGUGGAAGAACAAAAGUUUGAAGUGGGCUCAGGUAAUGUGGGAUAACAGAUGUCAGACAAGGAUCUGA